AUCGUUCACAUCAUAUGUUCUCUAAUUUAAUGAACAGGUUAUUCUGGUUGAUUUCCCCUGUCCUUAUGGAAAAAUCGUGUGCAUUUCACGUGUGAUUGUGUGAGUAAUAUUUAAUCACAUGAGAAAAACGUGGGAAAGUUGAAGUAAACAUCAGGUAAGCACGUGCCGGAAUGUGAACAGAAUCACGUGUGAAAAGAAAUAAGUCAGGUAAAAAAAAAAGCAACACACUUAAGUCCAACUUCGUGUGCAAAAUGUGUGUAAAUAUGUAAAGGUGUCUUCUUAGAGUGCUUAAGUGUUUAGACCUUUUCUUCAGAUCGUAUAGUACGUGCAAAUCUGCCAACGAAGAAUAAUCACAUUUUGUUUGUGUACAGGUGUGUGCAUGAAAUGCAUGCGUGUGUGUGUGUGUGUGUGUGUGACUCAUUCACUUGUUGCCAAAGCAGUUUUUUCUGGAGGAAGUAUAGUGGUAUUGCUAAACCACUGCCUUUCUGCUUCCAAAACAUCAGCUAAGAACCGCAGUUCUGUGAAAGUGUCAAAUCUUUGUUUGACUUGUGUGUAGUGUUGGCCUGUUGUGUAGAUUUUCAAUAUCAAGGUGAUCACCGACCAAUCAAGGUACCUUCAAUGGGGGUCCAAACGUCUAACGCCAGUAGUGAAAAAGUGGGUUUGACAACAUGUCCGCAUCCUUUACAUCUCGCUUUGUAUCAGAGGUCAUUUCACUGGAACUAAAAGGAUCAAACCUGUUCUAGAAUGAGAUUGCCCCAGUGAACAAAGCAAGGUCAAUGAAGGUGGAAGAAGACUUCAACCCCACUGAACAACUUUUGGAUGAACUGGAACACUGACUGCACCUAAGCCUCCUUUCUUGACACCAGUGCCUGACCUCACUAAUGCUCUUGUGGCUGAACGAGGCAAAAAUUCCCACAGCCACGCUCCAAAAACCAGUGGAAAGCCUCCUUAGAUGACUGGAGGUUAUAUCUGCAAAGGGGGACUAAAUCUGGAAUGGGAUGUUCAACAAAGAGUGCAAAAAAGAGAAGUUGAUGAGGGGACGACUGUUUGUAACUGAUAUUACAAGAGUGAAUAAUUACAUGUGAUAACAGGAACUAACUUGCCUUGCAGAUGUUCUAAAUAUAUAUUAUAUUUCACUCUAAAUGGAUCCGAAAAAAAUUGCAAUGUGUCGUUUGUUAAUAAAUUAGAAAAAAACACUUUCAGAUGUGCUGUUAUUAGAAAGUCAGCAACUUUCUAGAACUGUCAUAUUCGCUGUCUCACCACCGUCACUGAUUUCCAGCAUACCCAGUCACGUAUUCUUCCUUACUAAUACAAAGUAAGUUUAUUCAAGUGGAAUUUUCCCCACAGUGGAGGUGAAUAUGUAUAAUUAUGUGUUUUGUGUGCUCUAUAAACUAUUUGUCUGACAUACUGUAGUGUCAGGAUCAGAUCUGAAUGCACUAUAAAAGCAGUCUGAGGAUAUGAAACUGGUUAAAGUGUGAAUCACACUGAGUAGUGAUUCAGAGUCUCAUGACGUGUGGAGGGUUUUAAUCAGGAAAAGUCUCAUUCACAGUUUUACUCCGGAAAGUCUUGUGCAUCUGCUUCCGUCUGAUCUUUCACAUGGUUUCUCAGGAUGUGUGCAUUCAAGUGGAGUUGCAUGUAUUCCAGCUAAUACUAAAAUAGUACAGAAUACUGCAAGAAUCAGAAUAGUUGCUUGUUUGUUCAGUGUCUUUCAAGAAUAGAUCACAUGUCAAUGCACAUUAAUCUUUGGACUGUACUCUUGGGGUGUAAAAAAGUAAUAAAUGAGUGUGGAACAAGGGUCCAGAUCAAUCAUAAACUAGACAAUUGGGAGCCAAAAGCUAAUUUUUUCAAUGUCUUCUGGGUGAAGCAUGGGCAAAGAAAGGCACAAAAUGGCACAAUGGUUUCAAUUUCAUUCUAGCUCAGAAUGCAAUAUGAAUGAAAACAAUGGCAGCAAUUCAUUAAAAAUAAAUUAAUUUGAUGUGGAAUCCUACCCAUGUACUUUAAUUCUUUAAUUCUUAAUCUUAACUGCAGGUCUGUAAUCAGUAGCUAGGUAUAGCUAGUAUCUGAUCUUUAGAUGAUCUUUUCGCACUGCAUAUGCUUAAUCACAGAGCAACAAUAACUAGCAUACAUAACCCACAUAACCUUGAUGUUUAUUAUUGUAAAGUUAUUGAAUAACCUGUACCAUGUCUGGCUAAUGUGCAACCAAAACAAAAACACAUACACGUUUCCAGCAUGCAGCCUGUCCUGCAAGAGCAGAAGAGAAAUGUUUUACCAGUGUUUUAUCAAUGGCUCUUAAUCAUUCCACAUAAAAGCCUGCAAAGCAAUGACUACUGGUUAAACUGUUUCAUAGAAGUGUUUUUCUUCUUCCUAAUUUAUUUAGCUAUAGGUUGAUUACACAGAUUGUAAAUUUAAAAAUAAUUGAACAACACUGUUUAUUAAGAUGGUCAAUAUCUGAUACUGAAGCUAUAGGCCUUCCUACAUGCUGAAGGAGUUAACUGUUAGUUAUUUUUUGUUAUUAUCUUGGCUGUGCACAUUCCACCUCAAACUAAUGCUAUGUUAGCGCCUAGCACAGCUGCACCGCUAAUAAACAACAAACAUCCAGAUGGCAUCUUCAUCAUAGUGGGGGACUUCAAUCAAGUGUAAGCAAAUAUUAAGAAUGCAUACAAGGACAUGGGCCACCUAGGGCAAUCUGAUCAUCUCUCACCCCAGCAUUCAGACUUCUCACCAGCACAUCAUCUUUAAUCUGUUUUCUCCCAUGCACUUGUUUCCAAAUUGUUUAAACCUGCAGUGCCACAAUUUCAAUCCUCACAAAUCCACAGUUGUAUUGGUGCUGAAAAACAUCAAUCUUAAACAGCUUAAAUGACUGUUGCACAACAGCACUCACUCCCAUCAUUAUAAAGAGAGUUUUUCACUCAUCAAAGCCAAAAAGCAAAACCAACAGAUCCAUGGAGUUAGCCAUCUCCAUCACCCUCCACACUGUCCUGACUCACCUGGAGAGUUAUAUCCCAGACUGUAAUUCAUUGACUACAACUCUGCAUUUAAUAUGAUCAUUCUAAGUAGGCUGGACUCCAAAACUGUAUAACAAAUGCCUUAGUGCACACAUUUGUAAUGUUCUGGACUUCUUAUCACUUUGGCCUCAGGCAAUCAGACUUCCUCGGCAGUGUCAGUGAACACUGGUAUACCACAGGGGUGUGUGUUAAGCCCAUUCUUUUCACCAUGACUGUGUGCUUGCACAGGCCACAAACACCAACGAAAACCUUUUAGAUGGCGCAAUGAUAAUCAGGCAGAUCUCUGACAAUUACAAGACAUCAUAGAGAGAGGUAUGCUCAGAAAAUAACCUGACCCUCAACAACAUCUGCACCUAUGGACUUUCGUAUUGUGAUUUCCUGAACCUGGAUUCAUGUGCACACUUGUGUGUCUGUGUGGCUACAUAUUUUUUCUAGUUUUAGAGACCAACACCAAAGAAUGAUGCUGGAAAUAUUAUUAGCGCUGGCACAUUUGGCACGUUGUAACUUUUCUGUCCACUAUUCACUGGCCUUCAUGCAAGGUUUGGUGGCAUAUUAUAGAUCUUGAUUGGUGCUGACUUUAGCCCUUGCAGUUUUCACUAGCUAAUGUGCUAGCACUGGAAUAUUAGCUUAGAAAAACAGCAUGCUAAGGAGAAGUGAGAAGGCCAAUUAUCUGUAUUAAACGUUACUGUCCUGGAGGAUACUGCCUGAUUAAACUUAGAAAACCUUUAAGUUUCACCUUGGAGAACAUAAGUAGUCUUUAAUGAGGAAUAGCCUACUAAUCUACUAUUAUUUUUCAGUCUGUUGAAAACAUUGCUUGAGAGAUUCAUAUUGAAAUGGUACAACAAAAUACACCAAAUAGUUACAAUCCUAAUCUAUAAUCCAAGGAGUUGUUAAACUGUUAUAUUUUUCUCAAUAUUCAAUCUUCAUUAAACAGUGUGCUAACGUUUAUCCUGUCAUUUUGUUUUGGUCAGCAUUAUGCUUCUAAUAAUAUAAGGGAUGGGGUACACUAAAUGACCAAAUGUUUUGGGAUGUCUUUACAUGUACAUGAAUGUAAUAUGGAGUUGGCCCACUCUUUUGCAGCUAUAACAGCUUCAAUUCUUCUGGGAAGGCUUUCCACAAGGUUUAGGACUGUGUUUAUGGGAAAUUUUGACCAUUCUUCUAGAAGCACAUUUGUGAGGUCAGGCACUGAUGUUAGAUGAGAAGUCAUGGCUUGCAGUCUCGACUCUAAUUCAUCCCAGGUGUUCUAUCAGGUUGAGGUCAGGACUCUGUUCAGGACAGUCAAGUUCCUCCACACCAAAGUCGCUCAUCCAUGUCUUUAUGGCGCUUGCUUUGUGCACUGGUGUGCAGUCAUGUUGGAACAGGAAGGGGUCAUCCCCAAACUGUUCUCACAAAGUUGGGAACCAAAAUACCUUGGUAUGCUGAAGCAUUAAAAGUUUCUUUUACUGGAAAACAACACCUUAAUUCAAUGAUUUGUAGGGGUGCCCCAAAACAUAGUGUAUACUCCGUUUUAUGUGUAUCCAUGAAGUUCUGCUGAUUCACAGCUCCAAAUCAUAAGGAUGAGUUGCUGUGUCUGUGGAGUUCUGCAUGUUUUCCACAUGUUUGUAUGAGUUUCUUCUGAAUUCUUGGUUUCCUCCCACCUCCCAUUAACAGGAGGUUUGGUGAGUCUAAAAUGCCUGGAGGUGGGAGUGUGUGUACAUGGUGAACUGUGAUGAACUGGUGUCCCAUCCAGUGUGUAUUCCCAUAAGCAUUCCCACAGUGCUUGCAGGAUAGAUUGUGGUGCGGUUCCCCUUCAAACUUGAGCAGGAUAAUGUGAUUACAGAAAGAUGAAUGAAUGAAACAAGAUUUUCUAUAUGCUCUGUAUUGUUUGACCUUCAGAAGAGCACAGCAAAGAACAUGACUCUUACUGCUACAGCUUGAUGGAAAAUACAGAAUCAUAUUCUGCCUACGCUGAAAGAUCUAAUCCUUCUCAAAGUGUGACAUUUGCUAUGACAUGUCUGCGGUUUCACCACUGGUUCUAACAAAUGCGAACAUACAUAUUGUAUUUUUUGUUUACUUUGGGACUGCAGAUGAUCACAGGAUGACUUCAUUCAAAGGUAAACAAAAAGGAUUGCACCUCAAAGCAAAUUCAUCCAAGUUCAUUUUUUUUUAUUAAGUUUUAUUAAGUAUUUUAUUUUAUCGAGUACAUGAAAUUUGCUAAGUUUGGAAAGAUAAUUGUUAAUAAAAUUAUGCUUUUGAUUUCAGAGAAAAAUCACUCUUGAGCUCUAUAGUGUCUUAAACACAUUUAGUUACAAUACAUGCGAUAAACAUAAAUAAAUAUCAUCUUUAAAUCUAAAAUAAAAGAAGCUAAAAUAAUAUUCAAUAUGUAAACAGAGGGCAAAUAUUGCUUACAAACACAGCACCAUCAUCAUCUGCAGUAGCAAGCACCUCUGACCAUGGAACAACAUGGGAUCUCUGAUUUAAAUGACAACAAGAGUUUUAUUUGACACCAAAUAAAAGGCUUGUUGUCAAAUAAAUCAGGAGAUUCCAUGUGUGUAACAGUCUCGUGAACUGAAUCAGCUAAACAAAAAGGGCACUUGGAAUUUUAUUUCAUUUAAUCAUAUUUCAACGUUAUUUAAAAAAAUGUGUUUCUACUGUUUGACCUAAGGGUAGGAUUACAUUCCUGUUGCUUAUCAUGGAUUUUUUUAAGAUAAGACACUGCCAAAUAAUGAGGUGGAAAAAUCCAGAAUCUGGUUCAACCUGUUUUUGUUUUCCACGAAAAAUAACAGUGACCAACAGUAGAGUGACCAGACGGAAAGUCAUGCUGUGUACAGAAAUCCGUUUGAAAAUGUGUACACAUUAAAAACUGAUCAGAAUAAAAUGUAAAAUAUAUUGCGCAAAUGAAUGCAUUAUUGCCUCAUAUCACUGUGUACCUCUUAAUCUAAUAAACU